UACGUAGGGUGCAAGCGUUGUCCGGAAUUAUUGGGCGUAAAGAGCUCGUAGGCGGUCCGUCACGUCGGCUGUGAAAACCUGGGGCUCAACCCCGGGCCUGCAGCCCAUACGGGCGGACUAGAAUUCGGUAGGGGAGACUGGAAUUCCUGGUGUAGCGGUGAAAUGCGUAGAUAUUGGGAGGAACACCAGUGGCGAAGGCGGCUCACUGGACCGGAACUGACGCUGAGGCGCGAAAGCGUGGGGAGCAAACGGG
rnacentral:rRNA from 1 species